GUAUAUAGCUCAGUUGACAGAGUGCUUGCUUCAUAUGUACAAGGCCCUGGGUUCAAUCCCCAGCAUCACA
rnacentral:tRNA from 1 species